rnacentral:sRNA from 2 species
GCCCGAUUUUAUCACCUGCUGGAGGAACUCGUCCUCCUCAAGGGCCACAUCACGACGGGGGAUAUGGCUCCAAUCACUGAUCGAUGUUAGUGAAUCGGUUGCCGAGAGACCACAGGAAGAAUUGUCGUCAAUCUCGGCAUUGACGCUACCGCUAUUGGUAUCUUGGAUUGAGGUCUCUUGAUUAUUCUGUAUUAAUGCUAGGCGGACAGUCAGCAACAUUAGCAUCUGCAGAUGCCCCGAGAUAUGUAGUGCCAUAAUCUUAGAAGAGUUAGAACCGAGCGAGAUGUCAUCGUCAUCUUCAGGCCUUUCAUCGCUUAAGCUAUGAGGUUUGGGAUUACUCAUUGCUAAAUUGGUUCGAGCCGAUUUGCUCUUCAUCUCACGAGGCGGCCUUUUCCGACGCUUUCCAGAAUAUAGAUGUCUAGGUGGGGCCGUUUGCUCAAGUUUGUAACCACAUAAAAGGCAUUCAUCUUGUGCUCUUGGCAGUUCUUCAGAACUGCAGCGAGAAAUUGUUUUAAGUAUUUCAACAGGAUAGACAUCGGUAUGGUACUUGAGCAAAUGAACGAGAAGGUGUUGUGAACUGAUGAACUUUCCUCCGUCGCGGAAGCAGUCAGGACACGUCCAGGACGUCACUGUGUAAAUUUUUUUGUGCCAAUUUUCUUCAUGGCACUGCAUGUGAUUAAACCAAUCAGCAAAUUCAGCGAACUGAGCGUGAGACUCAAUGCAUUCCUCUUCUAUGCACGGAUAUGGCAUA